rnacentral:snRNA from 1 species
GUGCUUGCUUCGGCAGCACAUAUACUAAAAUUGAAAUGAUACAGAGAUUAGCAUGGUCCCUGCACAAGGAUGACACUAAAUGCUAUAUUAAUAAUUCACAAAUAC